rnacentral:snRNA from 1 species
AGUUGUUCCCGGGCGUUUCCGUGGCCUCAGGGCCACAAGGGCGUCUUCGAAGAUCCCCAGGCCUGCUCUUCCGUGGCCUGGAGA